ensembl:lncRNA
CUGCAUCCACUGCGUCCAGCUCCACGGACCAGAUUGAAAGAGGUAACAGCGAGGCUAUGCCCUUGCCAGCAAAUAUACAGUGUAGGAAUUCAGUUUUGGAGUUCCUGGAAAAAGAGUCAGGGAGGCCUGAGGCCAAAGAGAGAAGACCAGAUCACAUGACAUUGUAAAUGUCAUCUCUGUCAGGUGCAGAGGCUGCUGCAGCAAGGUGCUCUCUAAUAUGUUCUCCACACCGAGGGUCUUAGUUUUGUAGCAGAGCAUCAUUGUUGUCAUCUUACACAAGUGCUGCCUCAACUGGCUCAACAGUGUCACCAGUGCUGAGACAUAUUUUGUGAAGAAUUGCACAGCACGUAAUCACAGCAGGGGCAAAACUUGGCUUCACCUCCUAAAAGAUGCUCCGCCACCUUGAUUUCAUGAUCCUAAAAGUCCUCUCAAUGAUGCUUCAUGUCUCUGGAUGUUGGUGGUUGAAUCCAGCUUCUGUUGGACUUGUGACUGGCUCCCUGUCUGGAGUUAUUAGAGAGACUGGCUGAGAUAUACCUGGAUACAAAGCCUACAAAGAUGUCUAAAAGCUUGCCUUUAUGGUCUCAAACUGCUUGGAGCUGAAUCGAGUAAAACAGUUUGUGGUUGAGGCAGCACUGAGCAUCUGUACUAUAGGUAACUCAUUUGGCAGCCAUCAGUGCUACCUACGGAUUAAAAGCUGCCAAUCAUGCGAGGUUUGUGGGAAAUGAAUUACGUGGGCUCUUUUGCUCUCAGUCACAUGGUGAUCAGUGUCAUGGACAGUGGAGAGGGGUAUGUCCAUGCAAUAAAAACCAACACUUCAAGCUCAAGGAUCCAGCCAUAAUCUUUAUGGUCAUGAAGGAAUGAGAAAAGAUUUGUCUGCCUUGUAAGCCUUUAUCUGGUCUCAGACUACAGAAACUGGAUGGGACUGGGAUGUGAUGUUUGCUGCAGCAGUACUGGAUUCAACACUGCUGGUGUCAUGAAUAUGUCACAAUGUCUGGUUUGUGUAUCCCUGGGUGUCCACUAGAGGUCUCACUUCCCCAUAUCGUCACCCCACCUCAGGAACUACAUUUCCCACAAGUCUUGUUGGUACUCAUCACUGUUCAUUGUAUUCAGCUGUUCCCACUUACAUUGUUUGCACCUGUCUAUAAAUACCUGGUUUGUUUCUGUCUUUGUUAUGGAGUCCUUGUUUAAUGUCACCCUGCUUUUUCUGGUUCCCUUGUGGAUGGUCGUGUUUCUUGUUUUGGACUGCUUAUCUGGAUUUUGACCUUUGCCUGACUGGAUUAUGAGUUUUGGAUUAUCCCAAUAAAACACUGCUUUUGGAUCUACC